rnacentral:snRNA from 1 species
CUACUUACCUGGCAGAGGAGAUACCAUGAUUACGAAGGUGGUUUUCCCAGGGUGAGACUCAUCCAUUGCACUGCGGGUGUGCUGACCCCUGUGAUUUUCCCAAAUGCAGGAAACUCGACUGCACAAUUUGUGGUAGUGGGGGACUGCGUUCGCGCUCUCCCCUG